rnacentral:rRNA from 1 species
GACGAACGCUGGCGGCAUGCCUAAUACAUGCAAGUUGAACGAUGAUAUUCUCUGCUUGCAGAGAAUUGAAGAGUAGCGAACGGGUGAGUAACACGUGUUGAACCUGCCCAUGAGAGGGGGAUAACAUUCGGAAACGGAUGCUAAUACCGCAUAAUGCUUUGGACUGCCUGGUCCCGAGACGAAAGACGGCUUUUGCCGUCACUCAUGGAUGGCCCCGCGCCGUAUUAUCUCGGUUGUGAGGGAAUGGCUCACCAAAGCUGUGAUACGUAACCGCCCUGACAGGGUGGACCGACACACUGGGACUGAGAAACGGCCCAGACUCCUACAGGGAGCAACAGUAGGGAAUCCUCCGCGAUGGGGCAAAGGCUGAUGGAGGACAGCCGCCGGAAUGCAGAAGGUCCUCUGAUCGGUAAGUUCUGUUAUUCGUAGAGUACAAGUCAACGUGUAACCGGGAUGACUUUGACGGUACCGAACCAGAAAGUCACGGCUAACUACGUG